CCUACGGGAGGCAGCAGUAAGGAAUAUUGGUCAAUGGACGCAAGUCUGAACCAGCCAUGCCGCGUGGAGGAUGAAGGUCCUCUGGAUUGUAAACUUCUUUUAUUUGGGAAGAAACCCACGAUUUCUAUUGUGGUUGACGGUACCAGAUGAAUAAGCACCGGCUAACUCCGUGCCAGCAGCCGCGGUAAUACGGAGGGUGCAAGCGUUAUCCGGAUUCACUGGGUUUAAAGGGUGCGUAGGCGGGCAGGUAAGUCAGUGGUGAAAUCUCCGAGCUUAACUUGGAAACUGCCGUUGAUACUAUCUGUCUUGAAUGCUGUGGAGGUAAGCGGAAUAUGUCAUGUAGCGGUGAAAUGCUUAGAUAUGACAUAGAACACCUAUUGCGAAGGCAGCUUGCUACACAGAAAUUGACGCUGAGGCACGAAAGCGUGGGGAUCAAACAGGAUUAGAUACCCUGGUAGUCCACGCCCUAAACGAUGAUACUCGACAUCAGCGAUACACAGUGGUGUNUGAGCGAAGACAUAAGUUAUCCCACCCGUACGGAAGGUACGACCCGACCGAAGGUUAGUAACGUACGAAAGUAAGUAGUAGGUACGGACGAGAGACGCGACGGACGGACGACGACGGAGGGAGGAGG
rnacentral:rRNA from 1 species